rnacentral:rRNA from 1 species
UUAGUGACGCAGCUAACGCAAUAAGUAGACCGCCUGGGGAGUACGGCCGCAAGGUUAAAACUCAAAUGAAUUGACGGGGGCCCGCACAAGCGGUGGAGCAUGUGGUUUAAUUCGAUGCAACGCGAAGAACCUUACCAUCCCUUGACAUCCAGUGAAUUUUCCAGAGAUGGAUUAGUGCCUUCGGGAACACUGAGACAGGUGCUGCAUGGCUGUCGUCAGCUCGUGUUGUGAGAUGUUGGGUUAAGUCCCGCAACGAGCGCAACCCUUAUCCUUAGUUGCCAGCACGUAAUGGUGGGAACUCUGGGGAGACUGCCGGUGAUAAACCGGAGGAAGGUGGGGACGACGUCAAGUCAUCAUGGCCCUUACGGGAUGGGCUACACACGUGCUACAAUGGCGCGUACAAAGGGCAGCGAACCUGCGAAGGUAAGCGAAUCUCAUAAAGCGCGUCGUAGUCCGGAUUGGAGUCUGCAACUCGACUCCAUGAAGUCGGAAUCGCUAGUAAUCGUGGAUCAGAAUGCCACGGUGAAUACGUUCCCGGGCCUUGUACACACCGCCCGUCACACCAUGGGAGUGGGCUGCACCAGAAGUGGUUAGUUUAACCUUCGGGAGAACGAUCACCACGGUGUGGUUCAUGACUGGGGUGAAGUCGUAACAAGGUAGCCG